rnacentral:rRNA from 1 species
CGGAGAUAGCUGGUUCUCCCCGAAAUAGCUUUAGGGCUAGCCUUGAGUUAGACACAUGGAGGUAGAGCACUGAAUCGCCGCGGGGGCGUCAAAGCUUACCAAAGCCUAUCAAACUCCGAAUGCCAUGUUGCCGAUGCUCAGGAGUCAGACUGCACGAGAUAAGUUGGGUAGUCGAGAGGGAAAGAGCCCAGAUCACCAGCUAAGGUCCCAAAGUACAUGUUAAGUGGUAAAGGAUGUGAGAUUUCGAAGACAACUAGGAUGUUGGCUCAGAAGCAGCCAUUCAUUCAAAGAGUGCGUAAUAGCUCACUAGUCGAGAGGUCCUGCGCCGAAAAAUGUCCGGGGCUAAAACAUGACACCGAAGCUGUGGAAUCAUUUAUGAUUGGUAGGGGAGCAUUGCUAAAGAAACGAAGCAGUACCGUAAGGAGCUGUGGAUUUUUAGGAAGAGAGAAUGCCGGAAUGAGUAGCGAGACGAAGGUGAGAAUCCUUCGGGCCGAAUAUCUAAGGUUUCCAGAGUAAAGCUGAUCUGCUCUGGGUAAGUCGGGACCUAAGGCGAGGACGAAAGUCGUAGUCGAUGGAUAACAGGUGGAGAUUCCUGUACUUCAUAUAUUCAGAACUGUGGGGACACAGGCAGAGAGCCAGAGCCGGGAAUGGAAAGACCGGUACAAGCGAGGUAGUCGUGCUGCAGGCAAAUCCGCAGCAUAAGACGAAGACGUGAUGUGGAGCGAACCAAAGGGUAGCGAAGCUGGUGAGCUGGCUGUCGAGAAAAGCCGCUAUAGCGAUAUAUGAACCCGUACCGUAAACCGACACAGGUGGAUGAGGAGAGAAUCCUAAGGCCGACGGGAGAAGCAUUGUUAAGGAACUCGGCAAAAUGACCCCGUAACUUCGGGAGAAGGGGUGCCUGCUAACGCAGGCCGCAGAGAAUAGGUCCAAGCAACUGUUUAGCAAAAACACAGGUCUAUGCGAAACCGAAAGGUGAAGUAUAUGGGCUGACGCCUGCCCGGUGCUGGAAGGUUAAGAGGAGGGCUUAGGAGCAAUCCGAAGGUCUGAAUUUAAGCCCCAGUAAACGGCGGCCGUAACUAUAACGGUCCUAAGGUAGCGAAAUUCCUUGUCGGGUAAGUUCCGACCCGCACGAAAGGCGUAAUGAUUUGGACGCUGUCUCGACAAUGCACCCGGUGAAAUUGAAAUACCAGUGAAGAUGCUGGUUACCCGCGCCAGG